rnacentral:rRNA from 1 species
AUUGAACGCUGGCGGCAGGCCUAACACAUGCAAGUCGAGCGGAGCGGCGGACGGGUGAGUAAUGCCUAGGAAUCUGCCUGGUAGUGGGGGAUAACGUACGGAAACGGACGCUAAUACCGCAUACUAUCAGAUGAGCCUAGGUCGGAUUAGCUAGUUGGUGGGGUAAAGGCCUACCAAGGCGACGAUCCGUAACUGGGCUGAGAGGAUGAUCAGUCACACGGGAACUGAGAUACGGUCCAGACUCCUACGGGAGGCAGCAGUGGGGAAUAUUGGGCAAUGGGCGAAAGUCUGAUCCAGCAAUGCCGCGUGUGUGAAGAAGGUCUUCGGAUUGUAAAGCUCUGUAAGUUGGGAGGCGUUACCAACAGAAUAAGCACCGACUAACUUCGUGCCAGCCGCCGCGGUAAUAC